AGCUAAUCUCAUUGGAAUCGAUACGAUUCACCAUCAGACACUCUCUGGACAGGAGAUGGAUCAAAUGAAUGAGCAUCAACUUGACAAAGUGGCCAACAAUGUCAGUGUUUUCUAUCGAGUUACGCCACGCCACAAACUUGACAUUGUAAAAUCCCUACAACGCACCGGAAAUAUUGUGGGCAUGACAGGUGAUGGCGUAAACGAUGGAGUAGCGUUAAAAAAAGCAGACAUAGGAAUAGCAAUGGGUAAAAAUGGUACUGACGUUUGCAAAGAAGCAGCAGAUAUGAUUUUGGUCAACGACGAUUUUCACACAAUCAUUGCGGCUAUAGAGGAGGGCAAGGCUAUAUUCUACAAUAUACGCAAUUUUGUGCGCUUUCAACUUAGUACUUCAAUUGCGGCACUCUCUCUAAUUGCACUUGCCACACUUAUGGGCAUUGCAAAUCCUUUAAAUGCUAUGCAAAUUCUAUGGAUUAAUAUUAUAAUGGACGGACCGCCAGCACAGUCGCUUGGUGUUGAACCUGUGGAUCAUGAUGUAUUGAAACAAAAACCGCGCAACGUUAAACAGCCAAUGAUAACGAAAUCGGUUAUAGUUAAUGUUUUGCUCAGUGCUAGCAUUAUAAUACUUGGCACACUAUGGGUGUUCCAACGAGAAAUGGCUGAUGGCACACUUGGCAAAACCAAACGUGAUACUACCAUGACAUUCACCUGCUUCGUUUUCUUUGAUAUGUUUAAUGCUCUGUCAUGCCGUUCCCAGACAAAGAGCGUUUUUAAAAUUGGUCUCACCUCGAAUAAAAUGUUCCUCAUGGCGGUUGGGUUUUCAAUUAUUGGACAAAUGCUUGUGAUUUAUUUUCCACCUCUUCAAAUGGUAUUCCAGACGGAAGCACUCUCUGUAUACGAUAUACUCUUCUUGCUCUCGCUAACUUCCUCGGUACUCAUUGUUGCAGAAAUUAAGAAAUGGUUUGAACGCACCAUGGAGCGUAAAUUAUACAAAACAAGAUCUGAGUUGGAUUUCGUAUGACAAAUCGCAAGCGCUGGAAGAAAGUUGAAUAAAAAAUCCGAUUAAGCUUAUUAAAAUAGCAACUAUUAAGGAGCUGAAGCGAGAGCAGACAGUACAGAAAAAAGAGUGAGAAACGUAUUAUUGAGAGUUAUUUUUACUUUUUUUUAAAUACGCAUUAAAAUCGUUAAGUUAGCUAGAGAAAAUGAUAUUAUAUAAGUAACGAGCUGGGAAGGAACGAUUGUGAACGAGCAGGGGGAAAAUAAGAAUUAUAUUUUAUAUGUCUUCACCCUUUUUGAGAAUAAAUCUCACUUGAAAUUAACGUGACCUAAUUUAGUAAAUUAGUGGUUUAUGGCAAUAUUGGCAAGGAGUAGAAUGCAGUGUAAAAAAAGAAAAAUGCGAUAAAUAUAUAUAAAAACAAAUUAAUAACUAAAAAAGUAAGAAACAAAUAAAAAAGACGUUUUGUAAAACAGAAAUUAGAUGCAAUGCCGAAGCGAACAGUAUCCUGAAUAAUCAAAAUUUUUGGAAAAAUCAACAGAAAAUUCUUCUAGCGCAAAUUUGGACUUUGAUAUAUUUUGUAUUAUUUUGUCAGAAAUACCAAAAAUAAAGUGCAUG